AUGCUAACUCCUAGAAACAAUCCACUGAACAGAGAAAAUCUGCAGCUUGUCUUAAAAUCAGACUAAAGCAUUUACUUUUACUGCAAUUUAAAUAUAAAAUCUCCUUAUCCACAUUUAUCAUCUCUUGUCAUCACUGCUUUUUUCAUCUCCUUGAAGCUUUAAUUUUGGGCAUGCUGAUUUGUUGUGAUUACCUGAUUGUUUGGGCUUUGUUGAGCACAACUUUAAGCUGAAGAGUCUCAGAAGACCUGUGUUAACCUCUUGUCAGACAAUGUGCGCCUUUUGGGUUGGUUAAGAGAACUUUUAUGAAAACUUUGAACCACAGAAAUCUGGUUGAAUUAACGAACACAUUUGAAUAUGUUGGAUGUGCCAUAAACUAGGUGUUCUGGAGGGCACACCAAGAUGUCUCAAAUAAGGUAGAAAAAUGAUAAAAGUUUUAAAUACAGGAAAGCAAUCAACUUUGGGCGUGUUGCUGGGAAUGGUUCCUUAGAGGUGGUGAACUGAAACUUCAUGUAUUACUGGAUAACAAUGACACCUAUGGCAUGUUUAGAUGAAAUAUUACUAUCAAGGGAUAAUUCUCUUGACCAGAGCAUGUAAAGUACCCCUGAAACAUAUAGCCCCCUAUGGCUUCAGAACAAUGGAGGACAUUCUCCUUGAGCUCAAGUUGUACCAUUGGGUGUGAAGAUUUCCAAUGAAUUGUAAUAGAGAACUUGUUUUUAAAGAUUGAGAAAACUGAAUCUGCCAGUCCUGACAAGGAUUUAGAAAAUUGCUGCCAAGAAUAAAUAUGAAACAGGGAUAUUGAAUUUUGCAGAUAGGUAAAUGAAGGAACCUGAAUGAUUCAUUUUAGCACUGUGAAAAUAUUUUGUGUGCCAUAGUAAUCUAUUGAAUCUUCAAUGUAAGUCUUAAUGACACUUGAAGGAAUUUUUAAGCAUAAUACAGUAAUUUUUUAUUUUAAGCAAGUAUAUGUUUGUAGUUACAUUUCCUAUGGCUUAAUGGAUUUGUAUUUAACUAUAUCCCUAUUCACCUGGCCAUAAUUUUCACUAAAGGUUAAAUUUGAGACAGCUGACAGGUAUACUGGCACCAGGGAGCAGGAACAUUUAGGUCAGAUAGGACAUUACUAUUUCAUUGGGAGUGGUUGCAAUUGUACUGUCAUUUCUGUCAGCAGUAAGGGUUUUAGUGUGCUUUCUGGUUGUUUCUAUUUGGUUUUGACUGUUAAAAGAUGCCUUUUGGUUUUAUUUUUUUAGUGAGACUGAGUGAGUAUCUGGGUGCUAAUCAUGCCGUUCCUACAAGUUACAUGCCAUUUGCCAUAGGCAUUUUUGCAUUUUGUGAUUCUAAAAGAAAGCUAGAAUUUUUAUGCACAAUGCUUUCUUGCAUAGCUUAAGAUCUACAGAGAGUACAAUUGAAAGUCUUCUGUAUUUCAGUGGAAUUUAGACAGUUCUUAGAUAGCAUAGUUGUAAAGCAAUGUUGAUUGACCCAGUGCCGUGAACUAUGCUGUGAUGAGAAGAAACUAUGUGAAACACUUAUAGUAUUUUAACUAGAAUUAAGUUAUGGUCAACCUACCUAAAAUGUAAAUAGGAUGAUAUUUGCCGUCUUUACAGGAUUAUUUUUAAAGGCUAACUACUCUUGAGGAGCUACUGUACUUUUAUACUACUGAAAGAUACUUUUAUACAUUACACUUAAAGAUGAUAUGCAAAUUAUAGUUCAAUUUUUAAUAUUAGAUCUUUCCCAGAUGUUAAAGUAGAAUGGAAAUUGCUAUCUAUAACCAAACCACUAUGUCAGAUGAAAACUUCUUAGCUAAAAUUGUUAAUACCAAAUAACAGUAACUUCUCAAAUAAUAGCUCCUGGUUAUGUUAGACACUUAGUUCUUCGAGUUAGUCUUUUUUUUUUUUUUUUUUUUUCCCCUGGAAAUUUUUAAAAAUUUUUUUUUUUUUUUUUUUUUUUUUUUUUUUUUUUUUUAAAUUUUUUUUUUUUUUUUUUUUUUCCCCCUGGAAAGUUUUCAAAAAGCUAUUCCUCAGUGUAUUUUUCUAACUGGUUUUCUUUAAAGAUUAUUACUUUAGUCAAAUGAUAAAAAUUACUUCUUAAUGUCCUUGAAAUAGCAUUAAUUAUUUUCCUUGAAUGAAUAUACCGUAUUUUAUGCAGUUAGGUGUAUUCCCGAAAAUUAGUGGACUUUAUUGAAUUAUUGAAAAUACCUCAUUAAAACAUCUAUUGUAAAAGUACUGCUGCUGAUCUUUAAUUAACAGCUUUUUAUGUGUAUGGAAAAUGGCAAAAUCUGUAGCUGUUCAUUGUGUAAAUUUUCAUCUGAUUAGAUUUUCCAAAAUUGAAGUGUGGAGACCUUGAAUCAGUGAUAGAUUUCAAAAUUCACAUCUAAAUGGUGGGGGAAAGAUAUGGUUGAGAUGUUUCUAGCUUGCUUGCUUUCUUGUCACCUGUUGAACUUUCUAACUUGUUUUUAGAUGAUUUUUUGGGCUUGAUUUAGAUGUGCAUUUUUAUAGGGUUUUUGUUUUAAAAAAAAAUCUUGUGGAGGUCGUUUGGAUAUAGGUUUUUAUUUUUAUUUUUUUUAUUUUUUAUUUUUUGGGAGGGGGGUAUGUGAUAAGUCAUUACCCUAAUUUUGACAAACCAUGGUUUUGAGUUUAUAAUUGAUAUCCAUUAGACCUGGAAUUAAUAUCAGCAAAUUUAUAUUUACACAUUUGUAAUAUCUGUAAAUUUAUAGUAGUCUGUAUGCAAGUGUCGGAACUAGUUUUUGUGAUUCUUGGCAUUAGUGAAGUAAUAUGACAUCAUUUGCUCCUUGUUCAUUCUUUUUCCCAUUUAUAUCAUCUAUCACAUUUUGAUGGUCCUCCUUGUUUAGCAUAAAUAGCUGCACUUCACCUUGAAGUUGGAAAUAAGAAAGUUGCCAUUUUAAUGUCAUGACAUUAUAUAGUCCAUCAGUGAUGCAUUUUUUUAUAGAGAUAUACCAGCCAAUAAGCCUCAGUUAUGUUCUUCCAAUUUGUGUUUUCUGAUAUAGGCAGUUUAUCAAGUUUUAGCUAUAAGAAAUGUUUUUUGUGUGUCUGUUUUUAAAUUGUUCCUGGACAGGCAAAUCACUUGAUUUCUAAAUGCCAAGGAAAAUGUCCAUAUUGUCAGAUACUGCUAAGGCAUUAUUUGAUAUUUAGGAUGCUUUAGAGAUUUUGCAGAUUUUUUCUUAUGGAAGCAUUUUAAUAUCUUAAAGUGGGAAAUUUUAACAUUUGCCAAUAUUAAAUUUUUUUUUAACUUUUUCUUCCUGUAGAAUUUAAAAUACCUUAGUUUUCUUUUCUU